CCCGCUGAGUUUAAGCAUAUCAAUAAGCGGAGGAAAAGAAACUUACCAGGAUUCCCUUAGUAACGGCGAGCGAACCGGGAAGAGCCCAGCUUGAGAAUCGGGCGCCCUCGGUGUUUGAAUUGUAGUCUGGAGAAGCGUCCUCAGCGGUGGACCGGGCCCAAGUCCCCUGGAAGGGGGCACCGAAGAGGGUGAGAGCCCCGUCGUACCCGGACCCUGUCGCACCACGAGGCGCUGUCAGCGAGUCGGGUUGUUUGGGAAUGCAGCCCAAAUCGGGCGGUAAAUUCCGUCCAAGGCUAAAUACGGGCGAGAGACCGAUAGCAAACAAGUACCGCGAGGGAAAGAUGAAAAGGACUUUGAAAAGAGAGUCAAAGAGUGCUUGAAAUUACCGGGAGGGAAGCGGAUGGGGGUCGGCGAUGCGCCCCGGUCGGAUGCGGAAUGGUGAGAACCGGUCCGCCGAUCGACUCGGGGCGUGGACCGAUGCGGAUUGCGGCGGCGGCACAAGCCCGGGCCUUGGAUACGCUCGUGGAGAUGUCGUCGUCGCAAUCGUGGUUGGCAGCGUGCGGCGUUUGGCGUGCCUCGGCACUUGCGAGCUCCUGGCAUCGGCCUGUGGGCUCCCCAUUCGGUCCGUGUUUAGCCGUGC
rnacentral:ncRNA from 1 species